AGUCAUCAGGAACCACUGUAUUUGAUGAUGAAACAGAUUUUCAAAAUUCUCUUCCUGUUUAUGUUACUUAGGAUAUGUCACUUGAUGGGUUACACACAUCAUACCAGUGAAGAUUGGACUCUGAUGUUUUCGAAGGAAAAAGAAAUUUUAUCG